rnacentral:rRNA from 1 species
UACGUAGGGGGCAAGCGUUAUCCGGAUUUACUGGGUGUAAAGGGAGCGUAGACGGCUUUGCAAGCCAGAUGUGAAAGCCCGGGGCUCAACCCCGGGACUGCAUUUGGAACUGUAUGGCUGGAGUGUCGGAGAGGCAGGCGGAAUUCCUAGUGUAGCGGUGAAAUGCGUAGAUAUUAGGAGGAACACCAGUGGCGAAGGCGGCCUGCUGGACGAUGACUGACGUUGGGGCUCGAAAGCGUGGGGAGCAAACAGG